UACGUAGGGGGCAAGCGUUGUCCGGAAUCAUUGGGCGUAAAGAGCGCGUAGGCGGUCCGGUAAGUCCGCUCUGAAAGUCCGGGGCUCAACCCCGGGAGGCGGGCGGAUACUGUCGGGCUAGAGUCCGGAAGAGGCGAGUGGAAUUCCUGGUGUAGCGGUGAAAUGCGCAGAUAUCAGGAGGAACACCAAUGGCGAAGGCAGCUCGCUGGGACGGUACUGACGCUGAGGCGCGAAAGCGGUGGGGAGCAAACAGG
rnacentral:rRNA from 1 species